rnacentral:rRNA from 1 species
UACGGGGGGAGCAAGCGUUGUUCGGAUUUACUGGGCGUAAAGGGCGCGUAGGCGGCAAUUCAAGUCAUCUGUGAAAUCUCCGGGCUUAACUCGGAACGGUCAGAUGAUACUGCUUUGCUAGAGUGCGGAAGGGGCAAUCGGAAUUCUCGGUGUAGCGGUGAAAUGCGUAGAUAUCGAGAGGAACACCAGAGGUGAAGACGGGUUGCUGGGCCGACACUGACGCUGAGGAGCGAAAGCGUGGGGAGCGAACAGG